GGGACAUCACCUACGAGCCAAUGAAAGU
rnacentral:piRNA from 1 species